CGUCGGACAUAGAAUAUUUCAUAAUAAAAUUAACUAGUAUUUGAACCUUUAAUGAAGACUAAGGUCGGUAAUGAAUAUCAAAUUUACUUAAUUUAAUAGCCCACUUUGCUACUCGAUCCAAAGUAUCAAGUCAUUGCAAAACUGAUUUCAAAGGUUGAUCGGUUAGAACAAUAACUGAAUAAGCUUGAAAAUAAGGUUG
rnacentral:lncRNA from 1 species